rnacentral:rRNA from 1 species
ACGCUAGCUACAGGCUUAACACAUGCAAGUCGAGGGGAAACGAUAUUGGAAGCUUGCUUCCGAUAGGCGUCGACCGGCGCACGGGUGAGUAACGCGUAUCCAACCUGCCCACCACUUGGGGAUAACCUUGCGAAAGUAAGACUAAUACCCAAUGAUAUCUCUAGAAGACAUCUGAAAGAGAUUAAAGAUUUAUCGGUGAUGGAUGGGGAUGCGUCUGAUUAGCUUGUUGGCGGGGUAACGGCCCACCAAGGCAACGAUCAGUAGGGGUUCUGAGAGGAAGGUCCCCCACAUUGGAACUGAGACACGGUCCAAACUCCUACGGGAGGCAGCAGUGAGGAAUAUUGGUCAAUGGACGAGAGUCUGAACCAGCCAAGUAGCGUGCAGGAAGACGGCCCUAUGGGUUGUAAACUGCUUUUAUAAGGGAAUAAAGUGAGUCUCGUGAGACUUUUUGCAUGUACCUUAUGAAUAAGGACCGGCUAAUUCCGUGCCAGCAGCCGCGGUAAUACGGAAGGUCCGGGCGUUAUCCGGAUUUAUUGGGUUUAAAGGGAGCGUAGGCCGUCUGUUAAGCGUGUUGUGAAAUGUAGAUGCUCAACAUCUGAAUUGCAGCGCGAACUGGCAGACUUGAGUGUGCGCAACGUAGGCGGAAUUCGUGGUGUAGCGGUGAAAUGCUUAGAUAUCACGAAGAACUCCGAUUG